rnacentral:antisense_RNA from 1 species
CUUGAUGGACCCCAGCCAGAGCGGUUCCGCGUUCUCGCCGCGGCCUUGACCGUAGGUGGCGAGCAGCGCCUGCGCCUC